rnacentral:rRNA from 1 species
CGCAAUGGGCGAAAGCCUGACGGAGCAAUACCGCGUGAGUGAUCUGACGGCCUCUGGGUUGUAAACCUCUUUUAUCAAGGAGGAAGUUCUGACGUGUACCUGAUGAAUAAGCAUCGGCUAACUCCGUGCCAGCAGCCGCGGUAAGACGGAGGAUGCAAGUGUUAUCCGGAAUCACUGGGCGUAAAGCGUCUGUAGGUGGUUUAAAAAGUCUACUGUUAAAGCUUGAAGCUUAACUUCAAAAAUGCCGUAGAAACUUUUAAACUUGAGUAUGGUGGGGGUAGAGGGAAUUUCCAGGGGAGCGGUGAAAUGCGUAGAUCUGGAAAGACCAACACUGGCGAUGGCACUCUACUGGGCCAUUGCCGUCUUUUUGAGACGAAAGCUA